GGGAGAUUCUUAACAUCUACAUUUCUUCGAAGUAAUUGUUUUAAUAAUACCGUAAUUUUUUUUUUUUUUUUUUGCAGCGCUGAGAACUGACCCCAGAGCCUCAGGCAGACAAUAGAAGGAAAUGGAAGAUUGGCUCUGAAAGGUUAAUUUACUUCUCUAAAGUCACAGUGUUGGAGCGGCUAUACCAAGGAUUUUUCGAAGCUCGACAGUCAAGCGCUCACCGAGCCCACUGACACUAAAUGGCAGGGUAAUACUUUUUAAUCUGUCCCCCAACCCUUGACUCCUAUACGGCCUCUUCUUGCUUUGUCUCUUACAUGCUUUUCCCUUUGUCUUCACCCUCGAC
rnacentral:lncRNA from 1 species